UGAAUACGAGACGCUACGGCGUCGAAGCAGUCUAUGUCAUACUUCCAAGAAAAGCUUGCACUGUCAUAAACAAAUAAUGCCUGUACCAUAACCGACACAGGUGGGUAGGUAGAGUAUACUAAGGGGCGCGAGAUAACUCUCUCUAAGGAACUCGGCAAAAUGACUCCGUAACUUCGGGAGAAGGAGUGCCUUAAGAAAUUAAGGUUGCAAUAACAAGAUCCAAGCAACUGUUUAUCAAAAACACAGGUCUCCGCUAAGUCGUAAGAUGAUGUAUGGGGGCUGACGCCUGCCCAGUGCCAGAAGGUUAAAGAAGUCGGUUAGCAUUAGCGAAGCUGGUAACUGAAGCCCUGGUGAACGGCGGCCGUAACAAUAACGGUCCUAAGGUAGCGAAAUUCCUUGUCGGGUAAGUUCCGACCCGCACGAAAGGCGUAAUGAUUUGGAUUCUGUCUCGGAGAGGGACUCGGUAAAAUAGACUUGUCUGUGAAGAUGCGGACUACCUGCACCAGGACAGAAAGACCCUAUGAAGCUUUACUGUAACUUGAAAUUGAAAUUGGACUUUACUUGCGCAGUAUAGGUGGGAGGCGUUGAGAAUAUUCUUGCGGGAAUAUUGGAGCCAUCAGUGAGAUACCACUCUUGUAAUGUUAGAUUUCUAACUUUGUAUCAUUAUCUGGUCAAAGAACAGUUUCAGGCGGGCAGUUUGACUGGGGCGGUCGCCUCCUAAACGGUAACGGAGGCCCACAAAGGUUUCCUCUGAACGGGUAGAAAUCGUAUCUAGAGUGUAAAGGCAUAAGGAAGCUUGACUGUGAGACCUACAAGUCGAGCAGGGACGAAAGUCGGUCUUAGUGAUCUGACGGUGCUGAGUGGAAAGGCCGUCACUCAACGGAUAAAAGUUACUCUAGGAUAACAGGCUGAUCUCCCCCAAGAGUUCACAUCGACGGGGAGGUUUGGCACCUCGAUGUCGGCUCAUCGCAUCCUGGGGCGGUAGUACGUCCCAAGGGUUGGGCUGUUCGCCCAUGAAAGCGGUACGCGAGCUGGGUUCAGAACGUCGUGAGACAGUUCGGUCCAUAUCCGGUGUAGGCGUUAGAAUAUUGAGAGGAGCCUUCUUUAGUACGAGAGGACCGAGAAGGACAUACCUCUGGUGUACCAGUUAUCGUGCCAACGGUAAACGCUGGGUAGCCAUGUAUGGAGGGGAUAACCGCCGAAAGCAUCUAAGUGGGAAGCCCACCUC
rnacentral:rRNA from 1 species